rnacentral:rRNA from 1 species
GAACACCUGCGUCUGCGCGAAGGAGAGGCUGAGCGCGAUGGAGACGGUCAUGGCCUGCCCCGCCGACCUGAUCUCCACCGGGUAGAUCUCGCUCGGCACCACCCACUUGAGCGGCCCCCACGACAUGCCGAAGCUGCACGUGUAGAGGCACAUGAGCACCAGCACCCCCUUGGCGUAGUUCCGCGCCAUCGUCGUCGCGUGCUGCCUCCCCAGAUGAUCCGCCAGUAUCCACGCCACCGCCACCUGGCAGAGCAUCAUUGCUACGCCGCCGGCGAGGAACAAGAACCUGCGGCCGGCACGGUCCACGACGAAGGUGGACACGACGACGGCGAACAAGUUGACGAGGCUGAGUAUGACGGAGCCCAAGAUCGCCUUCUGGCUGUCGAACCCCACGGUCCGGAACAGCACCGGCGAGAACACGGUGAUGACGAUCAUGCCGGUGAGGUCGAAGAAAGUGGGGAUGGCCACCAUCAUCACCAGGUAGUGCCGGCACCCCUUGCCGCGCAGCCGCUCGAACGCGCCCUCGUCGUUCCGGCGAGCCUCCUCCACGGCGAGGACGAUGUCCUUGAACUCGUCGCCCACGUCGGCGUCCGCCCCGCGGAUGCGCUGGAGCGCCGCGCGUGCCCUGUCGGGAUCUCCGCGGAGGACGAGGCUGCUGGGAGUGUCCGGGACGAAGAGGGCGCCCAGCACAACGACGAUGGCCGGCACGCCGGCCAGGCCGAGGGAGACCCGCCAGCCCCAUCCCGGGAUGCGGUUGGUGAAGUAGUUGGCGACGGUCGCUGCCACCGUGCCGAUGACGAGGAAGACGUGGUAGGCGCUGGUGAAGGCGCCGCGCCACUUGGCUGGCGAUGUCUCGGCGAGAUACAGCGGAGCCGCCUGCGGUCAACGGACCCAUCCGAGCAGCAUCCGGCCGAUGAUGAGCAUGGCGAUGUUCACGGCGGCGGCGUUGACAGCGGAGCCGGCAAGGAACAGGGCGCCGCCGGUGAGCAUGACGGCCUGGCGGCCCACCCUCCUGGUCACCCUACUAGCCACCAGCGACGACAGCACGCCGGCGAUGUACAGCGAGGAGGUGAACGCCGUGAGCAUCUGGUUGUCGUACUUGCAGUAGGCGUCGCGCUUGGCGCCCUUCAUCCCCUUGAGAACCUCCGGGAAGAAUUUCUCGAGGAA